rnacentral:lncRNA from 1 species
CCCGGGGAAGCCACUAGCUACAGAUGCUGGAGAAUUUGGGCUGGUUUCUUCUGCAUUUUAACAAUCCCUGGGGCUUUCUUUGGUUCUUUCUUUAUUUGAGUGAGGUUGAGAUCAUCUUUCUAUCAUGUCUCUGCAUUCAGUGAUAUCCAUAUUUAUCCAUGUUUGAAAAGACACAGACAUCAAUCUGUCUGGAAAGAACGAUGUGAGGACAGGACCCCUGCUACUGUGUGUGUCUCUCAUCCUGAUGUUGACAUAUGUAAAAGAAAAAAUCUGCUCCGGACACUUGUGAAAACCAGCAAGACAGAUGUUAUUGGAACUCCUGCAUUAGGCUACGACCCUCAGUACAGAGUUGAGCUCAGCUCUGGAGGCAGCAUGGACAGUGAGUGGAGUGUUUAUGGACAAUGAGCAGAGGGUCAGCGGAUGGACAGUCACUAAGAGGAACUUGAUGAGGUAUCAAGCUUGCAUGGUGUUGGCAAGUAACCGAGACUGGCAUGUGCAUUGAGGUGGAUGGGCGAGCAGGCCAAACACCGCUCCCAGGAAGAUGGAGAAGAUAGGCAGAAAGGCGGCAAGGAUGCAAGACAGAGAAAAGCUUGGGGUGAAAAAAUC